rnacentral:rRNA from 1 species
GAUGAACGCUGGCGGCGUGCCUAAUACAUGCAAGUCGAGCGAACAGACGAGGAGCUUGCUCCUCUGACGUUAGCGGCGGACGGGUGAGUAACACGUGGAUAACCUACCUAUAAGACUGGGAUAACUUCGGGAAACCGGAGCUAAUACCGGAUAAUAUAUUGAACCGCAUGGUUCAAUAGUGAAAGACGGUUUUGCUGUCACUUAUAGAUGGAUCCGCGCCGCAUUAGCUAGUUGGUAAGGUAACGGCUUACCAAGGCAACGAUGCGUAGCCGACCUGAGAGGGUGAUCGGCCACACUGGAACUGAGACACGGUCCAGACUCCUACGGGAGGCAGCAGUAGGGAAUCUUCCGCAAUGGGCGAAAGCUUGACGGAGCAACGCCGCGUGAGUGAUGAAGGUCUUCGGAUCGUAAAACUCUGUUAUUAGUGAAGAACAAAUGUGUAAGUAACUAUGCACGUCUUGACGGUACCUAAUCAGAAAGCCACGGCUAACUACGUG